rnacentral:rRNA from 1 species
UGGGGAAUCUUGGACAAUGGGCGCAAGCCUGGUCCAGCCAUGCCGCGUGGAUGAUGAAGGCCUUAGGGUUGUAAAAUCCUUUCGUGGGGGACGAUAAUGACGGUACCCCAAGAAGAAGCUCCGGCUAACUUCGUGCCAGCAGCCGCGGUAAUACGAAGGGGGCUAGCGUUGUUCGGAUUUACUGGGCGUAAAGCGCGUGUAGGCGGGUCGUUAAGUUGGGGGUGAAAUCCCGAGGCUCAACCUCGGAACUGCCUUCAAAACUGGCGACCUGGACUCAAGUAGAGGCAAGUGGAAUUGCGAGUGUAGAGGUGAAAUUCGUAGAUAUUCGCAGGAACACCAGUGGCGAAGGCGACUUGCUGGACUUGUAGUGACGCUGAGACGCGAAAGCGUGGGGAGCAAACAGGAUUAGAUACCCACGUAGUCCCUGAGCGGGCUGGCAAGGCGCAU